rnacentral:lncRNA from 1 species
AUUCGGCAGCGGCUCGCGGCCCGGAGCCCCCUGGGGCACACGGAGGCCCGGGCGGCCGCGCCCCCGGGGCCGGGCCUCGGGGCGGGGGGUGCUGGGGCCAAGGCGCCGCACGGGCGCCCAACCUCGGGGUGCCGCCUCCACAGGCUGUGGCUGGGGCUGGGGCGCGGGAGGCCCGCGGGGCUUCGGAGAGGGAAACUUAGAGAAAAGUCUUCCACUUGGCUUGGGGCCGCAGGGGAAGGAAGACGCCCUCCGCCUGUGCCGGCGCCGACCGCGGGCCGGCAGGUGGGGAGGCCCAGAGCUGGCGGGGAGUUCGUCCCACUCGGAGCCACAGCCUUGCCCGAGGGAGCCUCGAAAUCGUUCAAGGGCAACCUCAGACCAGAGCCAGGGCGCCUCCUCCACAUUCCUGACAGAUGUGCACGCCGCCUCCUCUUGGAUGCUUCCCGUGACAAGGAGCUCACUCCUCAACAAGGCGGACUGCUCGUCCAUCAAGCCUGGCAUCUAAUUCACCUGUGCCGGGUACCGCAGAUGGAGAACGCCAGACAGCUGACACAAAUGCAAGACCCACAGCAACCCCAGAGGCUGAAUUAUUUCCUCCUGGAUGGGAAUGAGUCAUCUCCUCCGCCGUCUCCCUCAACAGGGCUGUAACAUGUUUCCAAGGGUUUCAAAGCCCUGUUUGAAAACAUGGGCUUUGCGGACAGACCCAUGUUCAACUUCAACCCCAGCGGCUUCUGGGUGGGUGGCCUUGAGCAAGUCUCUUCCCAAAGGCUCAUCUUGCUCAUCUAUAAACACAGUCCUAGACCUCUUUCCCUCCUCUACUGAGAGAUCAUCCUGCAACUCCCAAGAGUACAUGUCUCUAUUGCAGCUAUACUGAAACUGAUCAGCACCUCACAGUCCCAGUUCCCGCUUCUCAGGAGGAGUAAUCUCAUGGACCCAUCUUGGCUGUGAGGGGUGGGCAAACUCAGAGAGAGGGUACUAAGUUGCUGAGAAGACAAACAGCUUUCCAAGCAGCCCCCAAACUGUAUUAUUGGGGAAGCUUCUUAUCUGGUGGAAGCUACUUCAGGGAACACACAAAUGAUAAGAAAGAAAAACAGUCUUAUUGCUAAGUUGGAAAAAGUUUGAGUGGUCUGGAUAGAAGAACAAACCAGCCAUAACAGUCCCUUCAGCCAAAGCCUAGUCAGAGCAAGGUCUUAACUCUCUUCUAUUCUCUGAAGCCUGAGAGAGGUGAGGAAGCUGCAGAAGAGAAGUUUGAUGCUAGCAGAGGUUAGUUCAUGAGGUUUAAGAAAAGAAGUCAUCCUAUAACAUAAAAGUACAAGGUGUGCAGAUCACCAAGGGGUAUUUAAAAAAAUAAAAAUAAAAAAUAAAGUACAAGGUGAAGGAGCACGUGCUGAUACAGAAGUUGCAGCAAGUUAUCCAGAAGAUCUAGCUAAGAUCACUGAGGAAGGCGGCUACACUAAACAACAGAUUUUCAGUGGAGACACAACAGCUUUCUAGUGGAAGAAAAUGCUACCUACGGCUUUCACAGCUGGAGAGGAGGAGUCAAUACCUGGUUUCUAAGCUUCAGAGGACAGGCUGAACUCUCUUGUUAAGGGCUAAUGCAACUGGUGACUUUAAGUUGAAGCCAAUGCUCAUUUACCAUUUUGAAAAUCCUCAGGCUCUUAAGAAUCAUGCUAAAUCAACUCUUCCUAUAAAUGAAAUAACAUUUCACUAUUUCUAUAAAUGAAAUAACAUUUCACUAUUUCUAUAAAUGAAAUAACAUUUCAUUAUUUCUAUAAAUGAAAUAACAAGGCUUGAAUGACAGCACAUCUGUUUACUGGUUUACAGUAAAGAGCACAUCUGGUUUACUGAAAAUUUAAACCCACUGUUGAGACCUACUGCAGAGAAAAAAUGAUUCUUCUCAAAAUAUGACUGCUCAAUGACAAUGCACCUGAUCACCUAUGAGCUCUGAUGAAGAUGUACAAGGAGAUUAACAUUGUUUUCAUGCCUGCUAACACCAACAUUCAUUCUGCAGCCCAUGGGCCAAGGAAUAAUUUAGACUUUCAAGUCUUAUAAUUUAAGAAAUACAUUUUCUAAGGCUAUUGCUGCCACAUAUAGUGAUUCCUCUGAUGGAUCUGGGCAAAGUAAAUUGAAAACCUUCUGGAAAGGACUCACCAUUCUAGAUGCCAUUAAGAACAUUUGUGAUUCAUGGGAGAAGGUCAAAAUAUCAGUACUAACAGGAGUAUGAAAGAAGUUGAUACCAACCCUAGUAGAUGACUUUGAGGGGUUCAGGACUUCAGUGGAGGAAGUCAUUGCAGAUGUGGGAAUAGCAAGAGAACUAGAAUUCCAUGGGCAUCCUGAGGAUGUGACCGAAUUGCUGCAAUCUCAUAAAAUGAAUGGAUGAGGAGUUGCUUCUUAUGGAUGAGCAAAGAAAGUGGUUUCUUGAGAUAGAAUCUACUCCCGGUGAAGACACUGUAAACAUUGUUGAAAUGACAACAAAAGAUUUGUAAUAUUCCGUAAACUUAGUUGAUAAAGCAGCAGCUGGGUUUGAGAGAAUGGACUCUAAUUUUGACACAAGUUCUACAGUGGGUAAAAUGCUAUCAAGCAGCAUUGCACGCUACAGAGAAAUCUUUUACGAAAGGAAGAGUCCUUCGAUGCAGCAAACGUUAUUCUUGUCUCAUUUUAGGAAAUUGCCAUAGCCGUUCUGACCUUUAGCAACCACCACCCUGAUCUAUUAGCAGCCAUCAACAUCAAGGCAAGACCCUCUACCAGCAAAAAGGCUCAGAGGAUUUUCAGCAUUUUUUGGCAAUAAAGCAUAUUUUAAUUUAGGUAUGCACAUUGGUUUCUCAUAAUAGAUAUACUGCUAUUGCACACUUAGUAGACUACAGUAUAAAUAUAACUUUUAUAUGUACUGGGAAACCAAAAAAAUACAUAUGACUUGCACAAUAAAGUGAUAUUCGCUGUAUUGAAUUGGUCUGGAACUGAACCACCAACGAACCUGCAAUGUCUCCGAGGUAUGCCUGCACCGCCUAGGAAAACUUAAGUGCCCACUAUUGAGAGGUGCUGCAAUUGCUAAUCAUUGCUAAUCCUGCUCGCCUGUCUUUUGCUUGGAGGACCAGGACUGCCUCUGACACUUCCUUGUAUAGUGUGCUUAGCAAAAAAGAUGUUCCAUAACUACUUGGGGCCACAGUCCCAGCCUGGGCUUCUGCUGUCAUCCCAGGUGGCAGUCUGCAGACAGGUGUGCACUCAGCAGGAGGCUUCUGGGACUUCAGUCCAGAGAUGACUCCAGUGGACAGCCAGCAUGGAGAACCACUGGGCAAGAGAAAGAGGCUCCAGGUUGGAAUGCAGGGAAACACUUUCACGUAAGGAGCAGGUGGAGGAGAAGCCAGGUGAGGAGAUGAGAAAUGAUGAAGCAAAGGAGGCUGGGCACCGUGGCUUACUCCUGUAAUCCUAGCACUUUGGGAGGCCAAGGCAGGCAGAUCUCUUGAGCCCAGGGGUUUGAGACCAGCCUGGGCAACACGGCAAAACCCCAUCUCUACAAAAUAAUACAAAAAUUAGUCAGGCUUGGUGGUAUGCGCCUGUAGUCCCAACUACUCAAGAGGCUGAGAUAGGAGGAUCACUUGAGCCUGGGAGGUCAAGGCUGCAGUGAGCUAUGAUCGUGCCACUGCAUUCCAGCCUGGGUGAUACAGCAAGAACCUGUCUCAAAAAAAAAAAAAAAAAAAAAAAAAAAAAAAAAAAGCAGCAGAAGCAGAGGAGAAUCAGAAGAGAGAAUUUGUUUAUUCAGGAGGACACUAUCUACAGUAUUAAAACCUGCAGAAUGGCCAAGGAGAGCAAAAGCCCAGGGUUACCAUGAUCUGACAUUCAAGGCAGAGGACAGGAUGUUCAGACCUCACAGGCAGUGAGUGGAGACUGAGUCGUGGAAGAGAGUCCAUUGGUGGGGACAGAGAGAGGUCAGAACCCACUCCCAUGUCUCCUCCCCACUCUACGACUUUGCUCUUCCUGGUGGACACCAGCCAGCAAAUGCAGGUGACAGAAGCCUGGGAGAGGCCUGCUCCUGGAACCAGAGAACCAGCAGACCACCUGCACCAGGAGCUGUGUGAACUUGCAAUUGCCUGGAGCAACUUUUAGGAAACAUCAAAAACAACCUGAGAAAGCCUGGUGUGGUAGCCCAGGCCUGUCAUCCUAGGUCCUUGGGAGGCUGAGACAGGAGGAUCCCUUGAGCCCAGGAGUUCAAGUCUAGCCUGGGCAACACAGCAAGACCCUGUCUCUGAAACAAACAAGCAAACAAACAGAAAAUCCAAAACAAAAAGCAAAGAAACCAAGCUGAUAGAGACAGCUGUGGCUGUGAAGGCAGCUGAGGGGACGAGCUCCCAGGCAGAUCAGAUUCAGCCGAACCGCUGCUCCCUCGUCUGUUCCGGGCAGCCCUGGGCAAUGGAAGAGGCCGUGGCUUCUCAGGCUGGUUCUCACAGUCACUAGCCUAGAGACCCCUUUGUAAAGGGGGGAGGACACCCAUUCUGUUUCAUUGGCUUUGUAAGCGAUUAAGUGCCAGAUAGCAUGAGGGACACUGGGAUGCCCAGAGCCUUGAGUACAAGGCCUGCAGAAUCCACAAAGCCCACACACUAAAAUGACCAAGACAGGGUCCUUCCUACUUCGUAAUUGACUUCCUAUCUCGUAGAUGAACUGGAAUGAGUUAAAAUGAAAGGUGUUUCUAGCCCAUCUAAAGUAGAACUUCUUGAAAUAUCUGUGGGCAAGAUUCAAACAAUAUUUUAAAACAAUUUUAAUCCAUUGUGGACUGAUAUUUUUGUAAUGCAAUAUAAAGAAAUUACUGGAAAGAUGCAAUAAAAAACCAGAUUCCAACAGAAUUACUCAUCACAUUUCCAUCAAUGUUCAUAUUCUCUCUUGAUUUCUGUACUCAUCUUGCUGCAGACCGAUAAGAAGCCCCGUCUGUGAGCAGGCUUGGGUGUGAGUAGGGUUGAUCUAUCUUCUCACUGCUCAAUGUCAACAGGUGGCAUGGACAUCACCUGGGAACUUGCUAGAACUCUAGCCUCUUGGGCCUCAUCCCAUUUCUGCUAAACCAGAAUCUGCUUUUUUGACAAGAUGCCCAACUGAUUCGUGUGCAUGUUAAAGUUUGUGGUGACACCCAUGGCAGCUAAGACUCAGGAAUGUUUUGCAGAAUGAAGGAAUUAACCAAAACCUCUACUCCCGAACCUCAAUUUCCCAUGACGUAAGAGCUAGUGACACAGACCUUCUUUCUGAUGAGCAGGACCAGCUAUGUAAUUUGCAGAGCCCACUGCAAAAGGAAAAGGUGGGGGCUCCUUUUAAAAAAAUCUUUGAGGGUUUCUAAGGUGGCGACAACCAAGCUGGGUCCUUCCAAUGUGGGGCCACCUACAGGUCCCACCCUAGGAAGCUGCUGAGGUAAGACUGGGUCAUUCUGGAGCCACUCAUGCUAGCCAAGGAAAGUGAUGAGAAUUCUGCUCUGUUUCCAUCUAUUACCGACCAUUGUCAUUAAAAAGCUGCGACCCUUAUCCUUUUUGAAGUUUAUUUUUUCUUAAUAUGCAAAUAGAAAUGGCUUAAAAUGGCUGUUAUUCCAGUGUAUAGAAUUCUUUCAAAAAUACAAAUAUGUGUGUGUCUAUUAAAACGUGAAUAGAAGCUCUAUUUAGGGAAAGACAACUUGUGCUCAUUUAUUUUAUUGACAGUGUACAGAUUUUGAUAUAUUGCAUUACAAUACUGACUGCUAGAUUUCUUAGAAAGGUUUAGUUUAGAUUGCUGUAGAUUUUUUUCUUCACAAUAAAAAUAAACUCAUGCCAGUGUUCAGUAACCAAUAAUAUCAAUUCAUUCAAAUUUAAUGACAGUUUUAUUAAACUAAGAAUCUCAUGUCACAGAGCAUUCACAGUGCAGGAGGUCACAGUUAUUGAAAAAAUAAAUAGCGGGAUAAAUAUCCUCAUUAUUUACAACUUUUCAACUCGAUGAUCCUGCUUUGCCCAUUAGAGAGAGAAUGAACAAAGAUGGUGGUGUUCAGCUCAGCGUGCCAGAACGAUCUUGGGGUGACUUGAACAAUGUGUGAACAGCCCCAGAAGUUCUUCGUUUUAGUUGUUUUUAAGGAGGUUCUUUCAGGACACAAGAGUCCUCUGAUUCCAUCUACCUGCUAUUUGGUAGGUCCCCCAGGUCCAAGCCUCGUGCGGGAAGCUCAAGGAAGCAGACAGUGUGGUCAUGGGGUCUGCAGCUUAGAGGGCAGGGAUGAAAAGUGAGGGCAGAGAUGCCCAGUGGCCAGAAAAAACUCACAAGAACAACUUAUUUAGAAAAACAGAGCUGCCUUGUUCACACUCCAGUCAUUUUUCAGGAGGGGAAAAGUCCUCUCUUCUUCCAUUGAAAGAGGACUGCGCGUCUGUCCUGAAUGGACUUGGGAAAUUCUGUGUAGAGAAUUCUGGAGUGACAGCAAAGAAGGCUCUGUUGUUUGGGACAUUCCCUUUAGGCACAAAGGUAGAUCACACCAAACCAUGCAUCUAGAAACCAAAAGCUGCACAUUCCCUCUCUUGAUAGCUUAAAACAUUUGUUUUCCAGUGAUGGGGUGAUGAGGGUACUGACUCUCUGCAGGAUUAAGAAUUUUAUUGGCCUGGCCCGUGGACAAGUCCCAACCAACAUGUUGCAUAAGAAGCAACUGCUUGGCGGGGCGCGGUGGCUCACGCUUGUAAUCCAGCACUUUGGGAGGCCGGGGUGGGCGGAUCACGAGAUCAGGAGAUCAAGACCAUCCUGGCUAACACGGUGAAACCCUGUCUG